AUGAAAUUUUCAAUAAAUCUGAAUUCUCCUCUAGUUCUCCCCCAUGAUAUUUACAUUUACCUUUGCCUUUUCUUUUUUUUUUCAGACACUCUUCGGAAAAAAAACGGAGAACUUCAGGAUGAAACAGACACUCUUCGGAAAAAAAACGGAGAACUUCAGGAUGAAACAGACACUCUUCGGAAAAAAAACGGAGAACUUCAGGAUGAAACAGACACUCUUCGGAAAAAAACGGUAAAUUUUCUGAUAUCCCAUUGCUCUUGAGCCCCUCCGAAGAGACUGGUUCAGCCUUUCAUCUUGUGUGCCGUUUCAUCUAUUUCGCUUCUGUCGGCAUGCCUUUCUCUUGCACGUCCUGUCUACGGGCUCCACCUCAAUGUUUUGCGUUGGACGUGUCCCACGUUCCUUCUGUCCAUUUCUGUUUGCCUACCUCCUCUGCUCUGCAUUCCUUCUCUUUGCAUGCAUGC
rnacentral:lncRNA from 9 species